CCUACGGGUGGCAGCAGUGGGGAAUAUUGCACAAUGGGGGAAACCCUGAUGCAGCGACGCCGCGUGAGUGAAGAAGGAUUUCGGUAUGUAAAGCUCUAUCAGCAGGGAAGAAAUAGCGACCUUUGGGUCGCCAGACGGUACCUGACUAAGAAGCCCCGGCUAACUACGUGCCAGCAGCCGCGGUAAUACGUAGGGGGCAAGCGUUAUCCGGAUUUACUGUGUGUAAAGGGAGCGUAGACGGCAGGACAAGUCUGAAGUGAAAUGCCGGGGCUUAACCCCGGAACUGCUUUGGAAACUGUGCAGCUAGAGAGCAGGAGCGGUAAGUGGAAUUCCUAGUGUAGCGGUGAAAUGCGUAGAUAUUAGGAGGAACACCAGUGGCGAAGGCGGCUUAGUGGACUGUAACUGACGUUGAGGCUCGAAAGCGUGGGGAGCAAACAGGAUUAGAUACCCCAGUAGUC
rnacentral:rRNA from 1 species